rnacentral:rRNA from 1 species
UACAGAGGGUGCAAGCGUUAAUCGGAAUUACUGGGCGUAAAGCGUGCGUAGACGGUUAUGUAAGUCAGAUGUGAAAGCCCCGGGCUCAACCUGGGAAUUGCAUUUGAGACUGCAUAGCUAGGGUGCGGAAGAGGGAAGCGGAAUUUCCGGUGUAGCGGUGAAAUGCGUAGAUAUCGGAAGGAACACCAGUGGCGAAGGCGGCAUCCUGGCCCUGGCCUGACGCUGAGGCGCGAGAGCGUGGGGAGCAAACGGG